CCUACGCCGGGCAGGGCUCAGGGCCAGGGGCCAGCCCGAGCCCGACCCGCAGCGGGGCAGCCGGCUCGGGCAGCCCUGGCCCCACCACGCCGGAGAGGCGAGGGCAGCCCCGCGAGACACCCCGCCGCGAGAGGAGCCCCCAGGAGAUUCUGCCUCAUUCGUCUCAGAGAUCAUUUCACCAUCUUCAUCAUCUUCAGUUUCCUGCAAUGAAGACAAGACAAUAAGAAAAAUUUACUGGACAAAAUGAAACCUGUUCUGAUGUCUUCUAUAAGGAGACACUGACAGCGAUAGCAGUCUGUGCCAGUUCUGCAGAACAUACAGCUCUGGCAAGGACCACCAUUCAACCAUCUUCUGUCUAGGUGUUGCCAAUACAGCACCUUGACUCAGUGCAUACAGGUGGGGCAAACAUUUUUCUCCAAACACCCAUCCCGACAGUGGUCUCUGAAUCUGUUAACAUGGGGUGAUGUUAGAAUGAAUGACCAAACUUUCCUGCCACCACCAGGAUACAUAUCCAGAUUGUCUUCAUAAUGGAGCUCAACCCUGUCAACUCAGGAAGUAAGACUCUGGAAGUCGUUCUGGAAGAGAACUAAUCCACAAUACAAACAUUUAAAAUCAAACCCCUGCAGCCUGAAAAUUUAAUCACAGCCAUUUCAGUGUAUAUAGUGCAUUCUGAUGCCAGAACAUCUCAAAGCUUUUCAUAGGAUCUGUACAGAGCUAGUGACCUUAGUAAAGCUUCAAGGAUACCCACAAGUGAUCCACUGAGAAGAUUUUAAAUUACAUAUACAGAGAGAGAAAAAAAGAGAAAGAACACACACAAACACACAGGUUCAUUGAGUCCAAAGAGCGUGGCAAGCUUCCCACCGAGGAAUUCGCAAGCUGAAAAGACAGGGAGGAGAAAGAAUAACAGCAAUUCUAUCCCUUAUGACCUUUGCCUCAUUUGGGACACAGGACAGACUGUGAAUGGAUCCUGGGAAUGGAUCAUGAUUACGCA